CUCACAACUAACCCUAUUGAGUCUCUGAGUUACGCAGUUUUUUUCAGUCACUUCAAGGAAGUCUUUGAUCAACCACUCCAACAGGAGACAGCUGCUAAGAAGUUACUUACCCUCAAACAGGGAAAGAGGGCAUUGGCGGAGUUCGCCAUCGACUUCCGGGUGGCAGCACAGGAGACCCGGCUCCAAGAACAUCAAGCCCAACACUCUCUCUCGCCAAUUUUCUCAUUCUGAGCAAUCCAAGACUGAAGCUUCCAUCUUACCGGAAUCCUGCAUUGUGGGCGCCCUCACCUGGGCCAUUGAAAAGGACAUCAGGGAGGCACAACAAU